ACCAGGAUGGCCGAGUGGUUAAGGCGUUGGACUUAAGAUCCAAUGGACAAAUGUGGGUUCAAACCCCACUCCUGGUA